UACAGAGGGGGCAAGCGUUAUUCGGAAUUAUUGGGCGUAAAGGGCGCGUAGGCGGCUUUGCAAGUGGCGGGUGAAAUCCCUCGGCUUAACCGAGGAACUGCCUGUCAAACUGCAUGGCUUGAGACCAGGAGAGGUAAGUGGAAUUCCCAGUGUAGCGGUGAAAUGCGUAGAUAUUGGGAGGAACACCAGUGGCGAAGGCGGCUCACUGGACUGGUACUGACGCUGAUGCGCGAAAGCGUGGGGAGCAAACAGG
rnacentral:rRNA from 1 species